UUUAUCUUCACUUGCUGAUGCCAUUUGAGAUGUGAUUGGAAACUUCAGUAGAUGGGACCUAAGGUCACAGGGGGCUUCUGAAAGAUGUACCUGCUUCCUGGUCACCAUGAGCUUCAUGGCAUCACUAGUAGGAAGACGUGGUUGGAGCAGCUUGCUUCUCAGCUGAGGAAGCCUGUGGCUGGGCUCUUGACAUCUCAGCAGAUCUGCAGGCGAAGAUCUAGACUGAACUGGAGCAUCAUGACUGAAUGCUUAGCAAGAGAAAGACAUAGAAAGGAAGCAAGUGAGAAAGGAAGAAAAGAAAUCAUCUUUAUCAACACUCUACCAGAAGUCUUGGUGGUCUGAGAAGACUAUACAGCCACGGCCACUGCCCAGAAAGCUGCCAAGAUGUGGGAAUCCCCAGUGAGCAGAGACAGGGACAGAGGCACAUGGUAGCCUCUGCUCAUCUGCCUGUCCUGACCUCCCCGACUCAGCCCUAAAGAAUGUCAGCCACGUCCAAGGAAACUCUUCCUCAUUGUCUCUACUACAGGAUCCACGAGCAUCCUCUAAAACCAAGGUCAAGGAAUAGGUCAAGAUCAUUGUCGGGGUCUGGAAUUAGUUCUGGGUGACCUGAAGGGUGUGGUCAAGGAACUUAAAGAGGUAGUUAACCAGACUGAUACCCUGAUCUCUGACCCACAGAGCUUCAAAGAUGAAUGAGAGCUCCAAACCAGACAUGCUGAACAGUCCCUCCAUCUUCAUGAUGACCUCCAGCACAGAGCUCAAAGAACAGGUCAAUUCCCCACUUCUCAAACUUCCAGCACUCCUCUGCUACUCCCCUGAUUCUGAGAAAGCCAAACGCUCCAUCACUCCUCCAAGGUAGUUUGGGUGCGUCCUUCCCCUGCACCCAAACUACUGAAGGCCUCGAGGAAGUCAGCCCGCGACGUGGACCAUGUUUAAAAAAGUUUUUCUCUAUAUUAUAAACAUAAACCAAUAGGGAAAGAGCACUUUGAACUCCAUCAAUACAUCCCACAUUCACCAAAAUGGCAUACAAAUCACCUGGUAAGUACACAGUGUGCUGCUUCUCUCCCAGGUUGCAUGCGGUUUUCAAUGUUCCGUUAUCAGAAACUGCAGAACCGUGAGAAAGUCUGGGUGUGCAACUUACAACUGACCUGUGACAAACUGAACCCUUAGGAUUUCAAGAAUUUGGAUUUAUUUAUUGUAAGAUAUGGGCUCUCAAAUAUUUGAUUUUGUUAAUAAGGCCAAAAACAGUUCACUUCACUCGUGAAUGAAUAAAUCCAUCUAUGCAUUGGUGAA